GCUGGAUAUUUUUGAUUUCCUGUAAAUAUUCUUGAGCUUUGUUCUGGGAUGUGGUUAGGUUACUUUUAACAGUUUGAUAGUUUAAGGUCUUGGUUUUAAGAUUUAUUGCACAGGACCAGAGCCUUUAAUCUAUGCUAAUUAUCAUCUAGGGCUGACUAUUCCCUACUACUGAGCUAAGACUUUUCUGAAUGACAUACUUAAUACCCCAUGGAUAAUGAAUGAGGUUUCCACUAUUCCCGGCCCUCUGUGGCCAUGAAGUACUAAUUUCCUCUAAUCCUUUUGAGUGGUUCUUUCUCUGGCCUGGGGUAGUUUCCUCAGGCAUGUGCUGAUCAAUACUCUGC